AGGCUGAAGCCACGAGGAUAGGGGCGGGGCAGCGCUGGGUCCCCCGGCUGGGCCACCUACCUCCGUCCCGCCGGCCGCUCCUCCCGCGCCGCCCUUAGAGCAUCUCCCGCCGGCCAAGCCUCCUCCCUGCCAGGUCCGGGGCGACGCACAGACUCGGUGAAGGAGACAGAGCAGGGAAAAAGGUUUUCCGGAGGACGACGGUGCAGAAGGGGAGGGUGGGGGGCGCUACGAGCAGCCACAGGUCCCCCCCCACAGCACCUCUGUCUCCCCGGCGCGGUCUCCGAGGUCUCUGCGACCAGAAGCGGAAGCGCGGUUUCUCGAAAGUAAAGGAAGAGACGAAGAAAGUGGGACAGACGCGCAAGGAGCGAAGCCCAGCCAGAUGUGAGCAGCGAGGAGCUUCCAACACCCCCAGCGCUUUUCGUCCAAACAGCAGCCGCAGAGGAUUAACCGUGUGUGCCCCGCGCCGCGCCUCAGGGAAAUCCAGCGGCCGCCUCCUCCCGGCCCCCUGGGGAGCCCGCCAGGCUGAGAGUGGGGGUGGGGCCGAUUCCGUGAGUCUGGAGGUCCCUCCAGAGGCGGAGGGGCUGCGAGCCCCGGACGAGGAUGCCCCCCCGCAGGAUGGGGGUGCCCAGCAAGGCUGAGCACUCCUAGUCACUUGGUAGCAGAGGGAUGGGCCCCAAGGCCUCCGGGAUCCGCUGUAGCCAAUCCCAAGGGGUCAGGUCUCCAAACAGUGGCAGACCUGAGACACUCUGUGCAUUAUCGGGGACUCAGGUUCGGGGGAAUCUGUGAACCCCCAUAACAAAAUGCCAAACUCUGUGUGUGUGUGUGUGUGUGUGCACGCGCGCACACACACACGCACACACAUCUUUGGAAGGUGAUGGUCCACUGUUUUGUUCAGAGUCUUGAGAGCUCUGUGAUCCAAAGGUUAGGAAGGAGCCCCUGCCGGCAAGGUUUCCAUUUUCUAGAGAACAGCACGAGUACAGUGGUGGGCCCCGGGUGGCUGGAAGCACUCCUCAGUCUCUAUCAAGCCUCUCAUUCCUUGAUAUGAAAACCUGACAUUUUCUCAAUCAUACACAAAUAUUUUUUCCAAACAAGCCCCGUAGGCUGCCCUCCCAUCCUGAUUCCUGAUCCAGGCUGCUCCAGAGCCGGCCCUGGUUGGGACCCAGUCUCCAUCCCUAGACUCUGCGUCAGCCCAGCUUGCUCUGGACACUUCCCAUAUCACCAGCAGGGGAAGGAUUUGGCCAGAGAAGCAGAAGCCAGCUCUGAUGAUAACACCGUUCCCCUUUUUUUCCCCCGUCUGCCCUGUUCUCUCCGAGCUGCCCCUCACCUCGAUGUUGUAGCUGGAUUUUUUUGUUUUGUUAUCCCUCCUGUGAGGGUCUGUCUCUGGACAAAGAGGAGAUGUGAAAACGGGGAUGCUGGUUGGGACAUUCAGAGCAAAACUAAGAGGCUUCACCUUUCCCUGCCUGGAGUGUCCUCCCAUCCACUGCACCAACAACUGGACAGAUGAAAAGAAUCAAAAAGGAGAGGAAGAAGAGGGUGCAAGCACGAUGCCCGCUGCCUUGCCCCGGGCUGGGCGAGGCCAGCACUCAGGUAGAGCUGAGGACGAAUGGAGAUGAGAACAGAAAGGGAGCCUUCCAGGCAGGCGAGGCACCCAACAGCCACUCCACAGAGGCCCUGACUGCAUGCGUCAACCCCUCCUGCCUGUCACCACCACUCGCUGGGUCUGUUUACUUAUUGCUGGAAAAAGCAAUGUGACCUCAGUUAAAGUCUGCAAGACACUCGGUUCCAGAUAAGCACAGCAUGUCAUUAGCGGCACUGUGAUUUUUCCCACCACGGCCCUAACAUCCCGCCUUUCCCAGCUAUUUUGGGUAUGGCUACCCAGUCAUCCCACAAGGGCAGAGAUUGGUAUUGCAAACUUUGAAUUCUCUUCCCAAGGGUAGCGACCGGCCGGCUCCGAUGGUGAUGUCCCACUGCCAAGGCGGGGGGAGUGGGGAGAGUCUCCACAGAGCUUCGGGGAAGCGGGCUAAGAUGGAAAAGUGGAAACUUGGCAGACAGAUCCAGCCUCCCUGGCCACUGGCCCAUGCUCAUGGCUCCUGGAUGGCGCUGCCCACAUUCUGAGCAGCUUGGGACAGGUGGAGAUCAGGACUGGCAGCUGCAAGGACACACCAGAGCCACAGAAACUAAAGAGAAUUUCCAAAAGGAGUCUAUGGUGAAGUCUCUGAUGAUGCCAAGAAGACAAGGAGAAUGAAAAUCCAAUGAAAGCCUGAUUGUAUUUGUUGACCUUAAGGAAAGUGAUUUUAUGGCAGAGCCUCUCUGGAAGGGAGGGUGUGUUCGCUCACAGAAUGCAAAUACCCUUUGAUCCAGUAAUCUUUCUUCUAGGAGUUUCUCCUACAGAUAAACUUAGAAUGGUGCUCAAAUAAGUAAGUUCAAGGAUAUCCUCUGAGGCAUUGCUGUAGUAUAAAAAGAGCAUAGAUAUCCUCAAAGGACAUCAUCAGGGGCCUGGUAAAAUAAAUUCCACACAGUGGAACACCGUGUAGCUCUUUAGAGAAUAAACAGCUCUGUAUAUGUGAUCUGGAACAAUCUCCAAGCUAUAUUGUGAAGUGAAAAAUUACAAACCCUUAAUGAAAAGCAUUAAAGAAAAUCCCAAGAAAUGGAAAA